CCUCCGUAAAUACAAAUUACGAGUACGAAAGGAAAAUGGAGAUGACGUCGAUGGUUUAUGGUGUUUACACUUUUACGAGGGUACUGUUUAGAACUGGAGUUUGGUAGGUCAUCCACGUAACUAUUCACGUAACUCACGUUUUUACCGCAUACAUUUUCACUGUGCACAAUAAAUAAGUGGAUAUAAUAUGAUACUGUCACAUCACCUGCUGUAUUCCAUUUAUUUAUACCGUGAGUCUAUUUCCAUUUUAUAAACAAACACGCAGAACGAAAAAGAUAAUUACACGAAGAAAUUAAUGCUUACCGGAUUGCGCGCAUACUAUUAUAUAUUGGUUACGUGUGUACUGUUAUAUCUCGGUAACAUAGUACAUCAUCCAAACCUUCAAUGGGAACUAUACAUAUAAA
rnacentral:lncRNA from 1 species